GUGUAUCAAAAACCAUAUGCAAAAAAGAAUUUCUAUCGUCUCUUUGUCUCUCUCUCUCUCUCUCUCUCUCUCCAAUCGAUGCUUCGAUGUUCAUCUGUAGAAAAAGGGAUCGAAGAAUCAAAUCCAUUGAAAGUACAAUUUUAUGUUUAUCAACUUCAUUCGAUCAAGUAUCUGCUAAAUCAAGCGAUGUAUGUCAAAGAUCAUUGUCUCCAUGAGUAGAUCGGCCAUCUAAGUUUUGAAUUGGGAGAAAUCAAAUCUUUUUGUCAAGAUCGAGACUGAUAGAAAACAAUCAUGUAUUUUCAGACAUCUUCUCGUGCUAAAAAGAGUCCUACAGGAUAAAAUAUAGACCCUUGGAGCGGAUAGACAGAGCCCGGAUUCAGAUUUAUAAACUGGCAUAAAUCUGAUGAUAGCAUCAUAUAUGUAAAGGCAUGAAGUAUUAGAUUGCAGUCAUCAUAAGUGAUAUAAAGAGACGCUCAAACUGAGUACCGAGACAAACAUAGAGAGAUGAAUUUUAACUACAAUGACAUCACAGAUCAUAAGGGCCGGAAGACCAAUGAGUUAGUCAACAACAUUUGCGAACAACAUACUUUCAAUACGGUUAGUAAUAACUUAUCUAUAAUAACUAAAUCAUAAGUUUAAAGCAAUGUAAAAAUAUUUUUAAGAACUUAGAUUAAGAAAAAACAAUGGCUUAAGUAUAUAUGCUGGGUUAAUACCACGAUUAAUACAAAUCUUUUCUUCACAAUAGUUUAUAAUCUUGCAUCAGUCAUCCUCAAAAAACCUGAUAUCAUGACAUUUUAUAUGUGGCUGAUGUUUGAGUUGGACUAUCGGAGGACGAAAUUCAAGUUAUUCAGGUUUAAUAGAGCUGAAGCUUGUCUUUUCUAGAUCCCCUGGUUUAAAAUUAGUAAUAUGAUUGUAAUGAGUAUAAGUAAUUAAAAGAUACACGGCUUGUUUUAAGUAAAAACAGGAGUAUGCAAACUUGUUAAUGAUGUGAAGCAAGAUCUCAGCUCUGGGGUGUCUGGAACUUGUGAUCUAAUUUGGUCGAGACCUUGGAAACAUAUCAAAAUUAAACUCAUUAUAAAGGAUUUCAAGGUUAAGCGAUUUGUGGUGAUAAGCAUGGUUGGACAUGAAACACUUACCAAGGACACACCUUCGUAUAUUUCUUGGUGUCUGCGGUGAAAGCAUGCUUAUCUGGUCAUAUGGGGUUGUAUUGCUUGGUUCGACUCCAGUGAUUGGUUCCAGUUUUUUCCGUUUCAUCUUCAGAAAAUCGAGACCAAGAAAGUUUCCUCGUUUCAGUAAGAGGAUGAGAGAGUAGCUGAAAGAGGAGAUUGGCCGUGUAUGAUAAAUUUAUUUAAGAGGUCGUAGCAAUCUUGUAAAAGGAGAUUACAAAGGCCUGUGAAGAAUAAGGAAGCAUCAAAGUGUUAUAUGAAUCAAAACUGUCUUAUAGCAGGCGACUACUAUGAUAUUGAACAGGUAUGUCAAGUAUAAACUCAUCUUAUACUUCUUUGAUAGUUUGUAGGAUGGUAAGAAUAGGUAAACCAGACAAAAUUUGGUUUAGUUAGGAGAAUCGAAUGGUUAGUUAGGUGGUUAGUUAGGUUAAUCUAUUGAUUAUUUAAUUGAAUUUUGAAGACUGGUUGUCCAUUGUUUAGAUGUUGAACUAAUGGAAUGGAAAAGUCAGAUCAAAUUGUAUAGAGUCUGAUCUAAUUAUACAAUCUAAUUUAUGGAAUCAUAUAGGAAAUCUCAAUAUUAUUAAAUAUAGAAAACCAAUCCAAUAAGAAAAACCAAUAAAAAGCAAUGCAUAAAUCAUAAAGUUCAGAAAUAA